AAACACGGACCAAGGAGUCUAACAUGUGCGCGAGUCAUUGGGUUGACACUAAACCUAAAGGCGCAAUGAAAGUGAAGGUCUCGCCUUGUGCGGACCGAGGGAAGAUGGGGCGUGCUUCUGCGCGACCCCCGCAUUCCCGGGGCGUCUCGUUCUCACUGCGAGUUGAGGCGCACCCAGAGCGUACACGUUGGGACCCGAAAGAUGGUGAACUAUGCCUGGCCAGGACGAAGUCAGGGGAAACCCUGAUGGAGGUCCGUAGCGAUUCUGACGUGCAAAUCGAUCGUCGGAGCUGGGUAUAGGGCGAAAGACUAAUCGAACCAUCUAGUACU
rnacentral:rRNA from 1 species